rnacentral:rRNA from 1 species
AGAGUUUAAUCAUGGCUCAGGACGUACGCUGGCGGCGUGCCUAAUACAUGCAAGUCGAGCGGACCGAACGAGAGCUUGCUCUUGUUCGGUCAGCGGCGGACGGGUGAGUAACACGUGGGCAACCUGCCCGCAAGACCGGGAUAACUCCGGGAAACCGGAGCUAAUACCGGAUAACACCAAAGACCGCAUGGUCUUUGGUUGAAAGGCGGCUUCGGCUGCCACUUGCGGAUGGGCCCGCGGCGCAUUAGCUAGUUGGUGAGGUAACGGCUCACCACAGGCGACGAUGCGUAGCCGGCCUGAGAGGGUGACCGGCCACACUGGGACUGAGACACGGCCCAGACUCCUACGGGAGGCAGCAGUAGGGAAUCUUCCGCAAUGGACGAAAGUCUGACGGAGCGACGCCGCGUGAGCGNAAGAAGGCCUUCGGGUCGUAAAGCUCUGUUGUGAGGGACGAAGGAGCGCCGUUUGAAUAAGGACGGUGCGGUGACGGUACCUCA